CAGUCGUCCUGGUUGCUGGUGUCGCCGUUUGCUGCCGUCCCGCAGGUCCGACGCUUCUUUCGGCGGUGAGACAUGGCGUCGCCCUCCGAGCCCGACUCUGCCUGCAGGAGACCCGGCGUUACAGCAGCAUCAUGUGUGUCACAGCACUUACAUCAGAGUUGGAGUCGGACGAGCUGGAGGAUGAAGAGGAUGAAGAGUCACUAGAGCUGUCAGAUGCGAUACCCGUGGAUUCCUGUAGGUCCACUUUGUCUGCCAGCGCCGCUAGGUCGGGUCGCUCCUGCUUCAAAAUGCUGAAACAACAAAUCAAGUGUGAACAAGUGUUUGUCCUGAUCCAGAUCCCAUGUUAAUGUGGGGACAGAAGUUUCUCCCUUUUAUUGAUUUUCAACAUAGAAUCAAGUUUAAUUUGACAAGAAUUUACACCUCAUUCAUUUUACCCUCGACCUUUACAAGCCUUCCAGGACCUGCUGCUGAGAAACAUCAUGAUGCUGCCACCACCAUACUUCACAUCAUGAUGUUGCCACCACUAUGCUUCACAUCAUGAUGUUGCCACCACUAUGCUUCAUGUCAUGAUGUUGCCACCACCGUGCUUCACAUCAUGAUGUUGCCACCACUAUGCUUCAUGUCAUGAUGUUGCCACCACCGUGCUUCACAUCAUGAUGUUGCCACCACUAUGCUUCACAUCAUGAUGCUGCCACCACCGUGCUUCACAUCAUGAUGCUGCCACCACUAUGCUUCACAUCAUGAUGCUGCCACCACCAUGCUUCACAUGAUGUUGCCACCACUAUGCUUCACAUCAUGAUGUUGCCACCACUAUGCUUCACAUCAUGAUGCUGCCACCACCAUGCUUCACAUCAUGAUGCUGCCACCACCAUGCUUCACAUCAUGAUGCUGCCACCACCAUGCUUCACAUCAUGAUGUUGCCACCACUAUGCUUCACAUCGUGAUGUUGCCACCACCAUGCUUCACAUGAUGUUGCCACCACUAUGCUUCACAUCAUGAUGUUGCCACCACUAUGCUUCACAUCAUGAUGCUGCCACCACCAUGCUUCACAUCAUGAUGCUGCCACCACCAUGCUUCACAUCAUGAUGCUGCCACCACCAUGCUUCACAUCAUGAUGCUGCCACCACCAUGCUUCACAUGAUGUUGCCACCACUAUGCUUCACAUCAUGAUGCUGCCACCACCAUGCUUCACAUCAUGAUGCUGCCACCACCAUGCUUCACAUCAUGAUGUUGCCACCACUAUGCUUCACAUCAUGAUGUUGCCACCACCAUGCUUCACAUCAUGAUGUUGCCACCACCAUGCUUCACAUCGUGAUGUUGCCACCACUGUGCUUCACAGUGAGGAUGGUGUGUUUCUAGUCUGAUGGACAAAAAGUUCCACUCUUCCAGUUGACUUCGGAAUCUCCACGUCUUCUGGUGAACUCUCGUCCAGAUUAUAUUUGAGCUUUUUCUAACAGAGUCUUUCUCUUUGUCUUCCAUAAAGCUUCGACUGCUGAAGAACAGACAACAGUUGUUGUAUGAACAGUCUCUCCCAUCUCAGCUGCUGAAGCUUGGAACUCCUUCAGAGGAGUCAUAGGUGUCCUGGUGGCCUCCCUCACUAGUCUCUUUCUUCUCAUUCUCUCGGUUUUUGAGGAUGUCAUUAAAUUGACCAGGUUUCAAUGUUGAAAAUCAAUAAAAGGGGAAAACUUUCAGGUGGGUGAAUACUUGUGGUAUACCUGCAGGAUUUAGAAAGACACAUUUGAAAAAUGAAGUUUCCUGCACUGUGGAGGAUUCUUUCUUACCGGUACCACUUCCUGGAGAGCUUGGGACGUCCUCGGACCGUUUUGUGCCACACGAUGGGGAAGUUGGUCGUGCUGGCGAAGUUCUGGGUGACGGCGAUCGUCGUGUCCAGGUUAAGAACAACGUGCCACCAUCCUCCUGCAGAAACACUGCAGGUUAAAAUUAGAGCUGCAACGGUUCAUUAUUUUGGCAAGUAUUGGAUUCAUUUGAUAAUCCAUCAGUUUGCAUAGUUGUUUUUAAUCAAAACUGUAACUACAGCUUCUUCAAAUGAAAUGACCGGUAAUGUAAAUAAAAAUAAAACAGAGAGAGGCUGCUAACGCCCUCCUGUGGAGCCGGCA